ACUCCAGCCUGGGCGACAGAGCGAGACUCCGUCUCAAAAAAGAGAGAGAGAGGAGAGAAAAGAGACGAAAUUGGCUACAGAAAGAAUUGACUUGGAGAUUUUUAGCUGGCCACUCCUUCUUGAGCCCUGACUGAAAACUGCUCCAAAUUCAGCCCUGCUGCUCCAUAGGCUCUGAAUGUUCAGAAGAACAUUCAUGUUACGAGGAUGACUCCAUGGAGUGCUUGAUCACUAAGUUUGCCCCCGUCUUCUCUUCACUGAUGCACAUAGAUGCCUGACCAGAGGAGAGAGUUCGUUUUCAUCCCAGGAUUAUCUCUUAUGCUGCAGUUCUGAAAUUCCCAUAAUGUUUAAACUAGAACACAAUUCAUUUCAUUAUCUCCAAUGUGUAUGACUUGACAGAAAUAUAUUCCGUUAUGUAGUACCUUAAAUCCAGAUAAAACAUAAGGAACUUUUAUUCCAUAUUUGUAUGAUCAAUGUUAAUAAUAUAAAAAGUCUAAAAAGUAGCUAUUUCCUAUAUUACAG
rnacentral:lncRNA from 1 species